rnacentral:misc_RNA from 1 species
GGAAGAACGUAGCGAAAUGCGAUAAGUAAUGUGAAUUGCAGAAUUCAGUGAAUCAUCGAAUCUUUGAACGCACCUUGCGCCCUUUGGCCAUUCCGAAGGGCAUGCCUGUUUGAGUAUCAUGAACACCUCAACUCUUUAUGGUUUUCCAUGAUGAGCUUGGACUCUGGGGGUUUUGCUGGCUCACAGUCGGCUCCUCUAAAAUGAAUCAGCUUACCAGUGUUUGGUGGGUAUCAUGGGUGUGAUAACUAUCUACGCUUGUGGUUUUUCCACCAGGUAACCUUCAGCAGUGGAGGUUCGCUGGAGCUCAUAGAUGUCUCUCCUCAGUGAGGACAGCCCUUUGAAUGUUUGAUCUCAAAUCAGGUAGGACUACCCGCUGAACUUAAGCAUAUCAAUAAGCGGAGGA